rnacentral:rRNA from 1 species
AGAGUGAACGCUGGCGGUAGGCCUAACACAUGCAAGUCGAACGGCAGCACAGUAGGAGCUUGCUCUUACGGGUGGCGAGUGGCGGACGGGUGAGGAAUACAUCGGAAUCUACCUUUUGGUGGGGGAUAACGUAGGGAAACUUACGCUAAUACCGCAUACGCCCUUCGGGGGAAAGCCGGGGACCAGCAAUGGCCUGGUGCUGAUAGAUGAGCCGAUGUCGGAUUAGCUAGUUGGUGAGGUAAUGGCUCACCAAGGCGACGAUCCGUAGCUGGUCUGAGAGGAUGAUCAGCCACACUGGAACUGAGACACGGUCCAAGACU